rnacentral:rRNA from 1 species
UACGGAGGAUGCAAGCGUUAUCCGGAAUGAUUGGGCGUAAAGCGUCCGCAGGUGGCAAUGUAAGUCUGCUGUCAAAGCGUCUGGCUCAACCAGAUAAAGGCAGUGGAAACUACAUAGCUAGAGUAAGGUAGGGGUAGAGGGAAUUCCUGGUGUAGCGGUGAAAUGCGUAGAGAUCAGGAAGAACACCGGUGGCGAAAGCGGGUCUCUGGGGCAGUAACUGACGCUGAGGAGCGAAAGCGUGGGGAGCGAACAGG